CCCGGCUCGCCGUGGAGACCGGCGCGUGAGGAACCUACCGGUACCGGCCGCGCGCUGGUAGUCGCCGGUGUGGCUGCACCUCACCAAUCCCGUGCGCCGCGGCUGGGCCGUCGGAGAGUGCGUGUGCUUCUCUCCUGCACGCGGUGCUUGGGCUCGGCCAGGCGGGGUCCGCCGCCAGGGUUUGAGGAUGGGGGAGUAGCUACAGGAAGCGACCCCGCGAUGGCAAGGUAUAUUUUUGUGGAAUGAAAAGGAAGUAUUAGAAAUGAGCUGAAGACCAUUCACAGAUUAAUAUUUUUGGGGACAGAUUUGUGAUGCUUGAUUCACCCUUGAAGUAAUGUAGACAGAAGUUCUCAAAUUUGCAUAUUACAUCAACUGGAACCAGCAGUGAAUCUUAAUGUUCACUUAAAUCAGAACUUGCAUAAGAAAGAGAAUGGGAGUCUGGUUAAAUAAAGAUGACUAUAUCAGAGACUUGAAAAGGAUCAUUCUCUGUUUUCUGAUAGUGUAUAUGGCCAUUUUAGUGGGCACAGAUCAGGAUUUUUACAGUUUACUUGGAGUGUCCAAAACUGCAAGCAGUAGAGAAAUAAGACAAGCUUUCAAGAAAUUGGCAUUGAAGUUACAUCCUGAUAAAAACCCGAAUAACCCAAAUGCACAUGGCGAUUUUUUAAAAAUAAAUAGAGCAUAUGAAGUACUCAAAGAUGAAGAUCUACGGAAAAAGUAUGACAAAUAUGGAGAAAAGGGACUUGAGGAUAAUCAAGGUGGCCAGUAUGAAAGCUGGAACUAUUAUCGUUAUGAUUUUGGUAUUUAUGAUGAUGAUCCUGAAAUCAUAACAUUGGAAAGAAGAGAAUUUGAUGCUGCUGUUAAUUCUGGAGAACUGUGGUUUGUAAAUUUUUACUCCCCAGGCUGUUCACACUGCCAUGAUUUAGCUCCCACAUGGAGAGACUUUGCUAAAGAAGUGGAUGGGUUACUUCGAAUUGGAGCUGUUAACUGUGGUGAUGAUAGAAUGCUUUGCCGAAUGAAAGGAGUCAACAGCUAUCCCAGCCUCUUCAUUUUUCGGUCUGGAAUGGCCCCAGUGAAAUAUCAUGGAGACAGAUCAAAGGAGAGUUUAGUGAGUUUUGCAAUGCAGCAUGUUAGAAGUACAGUGACAGAACUUUGGACAGGAAAUUUUGUCAACUCCAUACAAACUGCUUUUGCUGCUGGUAUUGGCUGGCUGAUCACUUUUUGUUCAAAAGGAGGAGAUUGUUUGACUUCACAGACACGACUCAGGCUUAGUGGCAUGUUGGAUGGUCUUGUUAAUGUAGGAUGGAUGGACUGUGCCACCCAGGAUAACCUUUGUAAAAGCUUAGAUAUUACAACAAGUACUACUGCUUAUUUUCCUCCUGGAGCCACUUUAAAUAACAAAGAGAAAAACAGUAUUUUGCUGCUUCAUUGAGAGAAUCAGACCAGCAGAGAGAGAGAGUUAUAUGACAAAAUAUGCUGAGGAUAAAAUAUUGACAAAUAAAGAAGAUUUGUUAGAAGGGCCUUUUAUACUCGUUUGUGUUUUAAAUAAGAGACUCGGGCCGAAAACAAGUUUAAGAUAAGAUCUGUAUCAUUGUAUUUUACUCUAAAAACUCCUAAGUGGUUUGGUUUUUAGAUGAAAACCUCUAUAAUGAGCAAAAGUCCAUUCCAAUUUUCCACUUCUAAGUUCCUCUUAAUUAAUCUUAAUUAUUGGUUGGGGAAUGAAGUGUCUUUGAUAGUCUAUUAUUCUUCCUUCUAGUGUUAUAAAAAUUCUUAAGUGAAUGUGUAAAACAUUGGCAUUCUGUAAAACAUGAUUAGCAUUAAAAUUAAGCUAAAGAUAAUGUGGUUUUUCUUGAUGAUUGGGAGGUCACUCAGGAUUUUUCUGAGCAUUUUUAUAGAAUACACAUCAUAGUUAAUUAAAAAUUCCAGUUAAUGCAACAUCUUAUAAUGGAAUUUAUUGUAUAUCACUAUUUAAGAAACAGCUUAGUUAUAUAAUAUUUUUGAUAAUUGCCAAAAUACACUUUUUUUGAAAAAAGACAUUUGGAAUUGUUUGAAAAACUAUUUACCUUCUAUAAUCAUUUUCCUAAAAAUACUACAUUGGAAAUUGAAAAAACAAAAGAUAUCAAAUAUAAUGAAUAUUUAUUCAAAAAGAUUACAAUGUGAUUUUCUUUUUCUAGUUUCUCAACUCAUUGGAUGCUAAAGAAAUAUAUUUGGAAGUAAUACAUAAUCUUCCAGAUUUUGAACUACUUUCGGCAAACACACUAGAGGAUCGUUUGGCUCAUCAUCGGUGGCUGUUAUUUUUUCAUUUUGGAAAAAAUGAAAAUUCAAAUGAUCCUGAGCUGAAAAAACUAAAAACUCUACUUAAAAAUGAUCAUAUUCAAGUUGGCAGGUUUGACUGUUCCUCUGCACCAGACAUCUGUAGUAAUCUGUAUGUUUUUCAGCCGUCUCUAGCAGUAUUUAAAGGACAAGGAACCAAAGAAUAUGAAAUUCAUCAUGGAAAGAAGAUUCUAUAUGAUAUACUUGCCUUUGCCAAAGAAAGUGUGAAUUCUCAUGUUACCACGCUUGGACCUCAAAAUUUUCCUGCCAAUGACAAAGAACCAUGGCUUGUUGAUUUCUUUGCCCCCUGGUGUCCACCAUGUCGAGCUUUACUACCAGAGUUACGAAGAGCAUCAAAUCUUCUUUAUGGUCAGCUUAAGUUUGGUACACUAGAUUGUACAGUUCAUGAGGGACUCUGUAACAUGGAGAGUAAAAAGGGACCAUUCGUAUAAUUACCCAUGCCGAUUUCUCAAUGUUUCAAUGCCUAUGGUUCUCAUGGCGAAUGGAGCAGCUAUAAAUAAGGAUCAGUAUAACAUUCAGGCUUAUCCAACAACAGUGGUAUUCAACCAGUCCAACAUUCAUGAGUAUGAAGGACAUCACUCUGCUGAACAAAUCUUGGAGUUCAUAGAGGAUCUUAUGAAUCCUUCAGUGGUCUCCCUUACACCCACCACCUUCAACGAACUAGUUACACAAAGAAAACACAACGAAGUCUGGAUGGUUGAUUUCUAUUCUCCGUGGUGUCAUCCUUGCCAAGUCUUAAUGCCAGAAUGGAAAAGAAUGGCCCGGACAUUAACUGGACUGAUCAACGUGGGCAGUAUAGAUUGCCAACAGUAUCAUUCUUUUUGUGCCCAGGAAAACGUUCAAAGAUACCCUGAGAUAAGAUUUUUUCCCCCAAAAUCAAAUAAAGCUUAUCAUUAUCACAGUUACAAUGGUUGGAAUAGGGAUGCUUAUUCCCUGAGAAUCUGGGGUCUAGGAUUUUUACCUCAAGUAUCCACAGAUCUAACACCUCAGACUUUCAGUGAAAAAGUUCUACAAGGGAAAAAUCAUUGGGUGAUUGAUUUCUAUGCUCCUUGGUGUGGACCUUGCCAGAAUUUUGCUCCAGAAUUUGAGCUCUUGGCUAGGAUGAUUAAAGGAAAAGUGAAAGCUGGAAAAGUAGACUGUCAGGCUUAUGCUCAGACAUGCCAGAAAGCUGGGAUCAGGGCCUAUCCAACUGUUAAAUUUUAUUUCUACGAAAGAGCAAAGAGAAAUUUUCAAGAAGAGCAGAUAAAUACCAGAGAUGCAAAAGCAAUCGCUGCCUUAAUAAGUGAAAAAUUGGAAACUCUCCGAAAUCAAGGCAAGAGGAAUAAGGAUGAACUUUGAUAAUGUUGAAGAUGAAGAAAAAGUUUAAAAGAAAUUCUGACAGAUGACAUCAGAAGACACCUAUUUAGAAUGUUACAUUUAUGAUGGGAAUGAAUGAACAUUAUCUUAGACUUGCAGUUGUACUGCCAGAAUUAUCUACAGCACUGGUGUAAAAGAAGGGUCUGCAAACUUUUUCUGUAAAGGGCCGGUUUAUAAAUAUUUUAGACUUUGCAGGCUAUAAUAUAUGGUUCACACAUGAGAACAAGAAUAGAGUCAUCAUGUAUUCUUUGUUAUUUGCUUUUAACAACCUUUAAAAAAUAUUAAAACGAUUCUUAGCUCAGAGCCAUACAAAAGUAGGCUGGAUUCAGUCCAUGGACCAUAGAUUGCUGUCCCCCUCGACGGACUUAUAAUGUUUCAGGUGGCUGGCUUGAACAUGAGUCUGCUGUGCUAUCUACAUAAAUGUCUAAGUUGUAUAAAGUCCACUUUCCCUUCACGUUUUUUGGCUGACCUGAAAAGAGGUAACUUAGUUUUUGGUCACUUGUUCUCCUAAAAAUGCUAUCCCUAACCAUAUAUUUAUAUUUCGUUUUAAAAACACCCAUGAUGUGGCACAGUAAACAAACCCUGUUAUGCUGUAUUAUUAUGAGGAGAUUCUUCAUUGUUUUCUUUCCUUCUCAAAGGUUGAAAAAAUGCUUUUAAUUUUUCACAGCCGAGAAACAGUGCAGCAGUAUAUGUGCACACAGUAAGUACACAAAUUUGAGCAACAGUAAGUGCACAAAUUCUGUAGUUUGCCGUAUCAUCCAGGAAAACCUGAGGGAAAAAAAUUAUAGCAAUUAACUGGGCAUUGUAGAGUAUCCUAAAUAUGUUAUCAAGUAUUUAGAGUUCUAUAUUUUAAAGAUAUAUGUGUUCAUGUAUUUUCUGAAAUUGCUUUCAUAGAAAUUUUCCCACUGAUAGUUGAUUUUUGAGGCAUCUAAUAUUUACAUAUUUGCCUUCUGAACUUUGUUUUGACCUGUAUCCUUUAUUUACAUUGGGUUUUUCUUUCGUAGUUUUGGUUUUUCACUCCUGUCCAGUCUAUUUAUUAUUCAAAUAGGAAAAAUUACUUUACAGGUUGUUUUACUGUAGCUUAUAAUGAUACUGUAGUUAUUCCAGUUACUAGUUUACUGUCAGAGGGCUGCCUUUUUCAGAUAAAUAUUGACAUAAUAACUGAAGUUAUUUUUAUAAGAAAAUCAAGUAUAUAAAUCUAGGAAAGGGAUCUUCUAGUUUCUGUGUUGUUUAGACUCAAAGAAUCACAAAUUUGUCAGUAACAUGUAGUUGUUUAGUUAUAAUUCAGAGUGUACAGAAUGGUAAAAAUUCCAAUCAGUCAAAAGAGGUCAAUGAAUUAAAAGGCUUGCAACUUUUUCAAAAACCUGUUAGAAUAUGCUUUAUUGUGUUUUGAGGAGUUUUCCUUUUUUUCUUUUCAAUAUCACUUUAUCCUGCUCACCAGUAUUUCCUCAUAAGGGUUAUUAUAGCCAUAAUUAAUGUUAAAAUAGACUUUGUUCUUCAUAUUCUCCCAUCUUUUUCGCUACUAUAUACUCUGUCUGGAUUCUGCUGUAUGCCUGUUGGCAUAUAUGGAACAGUCACCACUUGUCACACUUAACACCAGCUUUUUGAAUUAUGAUCAGUAAUGGCAAGAGCCUUUCAUUCUCGAAUGUUUAAAGCCUAGGAGUUCUACAAAAUUGGCUUCUUUCUACAAGAAUCCCAAAAUGGAAUGCCUAAAGAAGUCUUACUUGGGUAAAUACUUACUAAAAUAUACUGGUUAUGUGCAUAUCACCACACUGGACACUGAGGAGUGUUCAAAAGGAAUCUAAGACAUGGUCCCCAUCUUCCAACUGUCUGUAAUUCACUGUUUUGUCAUUGAGCUCAUAAGGUACUUACAUUACUACCUAUAAAUGUUUCCUGUACUUGUUAGUUGUUGAGAAACAUUUUAGGCAGUAAAUAAAAUAGUAAAUAUUAUGUGUCCUAUAAUUUGACCUAAGCUGUGUGCCUUUGGAAUCAGCUCUAAGCCAGGGCCCCCUGGGAGUCAUGUUAAGAAACACGUAUCAUAAAGUGACAUACAUCAAGGUUAUCUUAUAUAGUCAUAACAGUAUUAUUGGGUCUUUCAAAAACAGCUGGCAGAUUGAGCUUUUAAUGGCUAUAUUGAUACAGUAGAUAGAGCACCUCUAAGGAGUACCAGGUAUAAUGUGCCAUUUCUCUCAGCAACACCAUUUUUGUGUGCAGCUGACCCUCUAACAUGGUAUCAAUUCUAGCUGACCAAAGCACAUUCUAUCAGGCAGCCAGGCUUGGAAAUUAGGUCCAUUUAAAGUAUGUGGCUUACAGUCAGGUAUGGUGGUGUGCGCCUAUUGUCCCAUCUACUUGAGAGGCUGAGGCAGGAGGGAUUGCUUGGGCUCAGGAUUUUGAAUCCAGCCUGGGCAACAUAGCAAGACCCCAUCUCUAAUAAAUAAAUUAUGUUUUGGGCAUUAAUGAUGUUUGUCUAUUCUGAUUUCUCAAAUUUUAUUUAGGUCUUUCAUAGCUUUUUUAUUUAAAGGUAUAUGAUUAAGAUAAAGGAAAAGUAAAAUGAAAUGUUUAUGUAAUUUUAUAUUCUCAAAAUUUUCUUUAAAUUUGCUCUGUUUUCUGACAGUGCUCAAAGUGGGAAUUUUUUUAGAAGUACGGUUAUCAAAAAAACACAUUUCCUAUGGGACACACAUUUCAAAGAUGUUUAGUACGAUAAAAUUUUUAGUAAAAGGGUAGCACUUUUAAGUCAUUUGAAUAGAAUAUUUGUGUAAUAUUUAGUCUAGUGUUAGUCCUUAAAUCUGCCAACAAAACCAGAUAGAUGUCUUAAAGUAGGCACAUUUAUUCCAUUGUGACUGUUAAGAAAUAAUAAAAGAUUAAAUUAACAAAAUGCAUUUUAAAUUUUUAUGAUACCUAUAGAAAAUUGAUAAUGAAGAUGAAAAGUAAAUAACCUUUCUGAUAAUAUUCUACUUUACACAUAUACUGAAAACUUACUUACAUAUACCCAAAUUCUUCUAGUGAAGAAGUUUGUAAUAUGGUUUGAGUAUUUGUCCCCUCCAAAUCUCAUGUUGAAAUAUGAUCCCCAGUGUUGGAUAUGGGGCCUGGUGGGAGGUGUUUGGGUGAUGGGGGCUGAUCCCUCAUAAAUGGCUUUGUGCCUUCCCCAGUGGUAAUGAGUUCCUGCUGUGUUUAUUCCUGCAAGAGCUGGUUGUUAAAAGGAACUUGGCACCACCACCUCCUCUCUUUCUCGCUCCUUCUCUGUGUGACAUGCCUUCUCCCCCCGUGCCUUCUGCCAUGAGUAAAAGCUCCCUGAGACCUCACCAGAAGCUGAGCAGAUGCUGGUGCCAUGUUUUUACAGCCUGCAGAACUGCAAGUCAAAUAAACGUUUUCUUUAUAAGGUAACCAGUCCCAGGUAUUCCUUCAUUGCAAUGCAAAACAGACUAAUACAGUUUCUUUUCAGUAAGAAUUACAAAAUUUAGGCCAAUGACCAAGCUGAGUAUAAAUUACUAAUCAUACACAAAAAUGUGUUUCACUGGCUUGAGUCAUUUUUCUGUUUAACACUGAAUUUACACUUAGAUUCUUGUACUGUCACUGAGUCCCCUUGUAAACAGCUAGGUAUAUUUUGUGAAUGGAAACUAGCCAAAAAUACAGCCAAAGUCUCAACGCCAAACUGGUCUACAUCAGUAUGGACUCCAGAAAUGCAUCUUUCAACCACUUGAUUGCAUUAAGUAGUCAUUUGAGUGCAUCACCUAGUGGCCUUUGGUCCUGAAAGUUAGCAAUCAUCCCCAAAAAGGUCUGUGUUAAUAACUGAUAGACAAUCUUCAUUAAGCAACUGCUGUUUUUUUUUUUUAAUACUUCAAGUUCUGCAAUACAUGUGCAGAACAUGCAGGUUUGUUACAUAGGUAUACAUGUGCCAUGGUGGUUUGCUGCACCCAUCAACCUGUCAUCUACAUUAGCUAUUUCUUCUAAUGUUGUCCUUCCCCUUGCCCCCUACCCCGCCGACAGGCCCCAUUGUUGAUGUUCCCCUCCCUGUGUCCAUAUGUUCUCAUUGUUCAACUCCCACUUACGAGUGACAACAUGUGGUGUUUGGUUUUCUGUUCCUGUUAGUUUGCUGAGAAUAAUGGUUUCCGGCUUCAUCCCUGUCCCUGCAAAGGACAUGAACGCAUCCUUUUUUAUGGCUGCAUAGUAUUCCAUGGUGUGUUUGUGCCCGUUUCUUUAUCCAGUCUAACAUUGAUGGGCAUUUUGGUUGGUUCCAAGUGUUUCCUAUUGUGAAUAGUGCUCCAAUAAACAUACGUGUGCAUGUGUCUUUAUAGUAAAAUUAUUUAUAAUCCUUUAGGUAUAUACCCAGUAACGGGAUUGCUGGGUCAAAUGGUAUUUCUAUUUCUAGAUCCUUGAGGAAUCGCCACACUGUCUUCCACAAUGGUUGAACAAAUUUACACUCCCACUAACAGUGUAAAAGCAUUCCUAUUUCUCCACAUCCUCUCCAGCAUCUGUUGUUUCCUCACUUUUUAAUGAUCGCCAUUCUAACUGAUGUGACAUGGUAUCUCAUUGUGUUUUUGAUUUGCAUUUCUCUAAUGACCACUGAUGAUGAGCUUUUUUUCAUAUCUUUGUUGGCCACCUAAAUGUCUUCUUUUGAGAAGUGUCUGUUCAUAUCCUUUGCCCACUUUUAAUGGGAUUUUUUUCUUGUAAAUUUAAGUUCCUUGUAGAUUCUGGAUAUUAGCCCUUUGUCAGAUGGAUAGAUUGCAAAAAGUUUCUCCCAUUCUGUAGGUUGCCUGUUCACUCUGAUCAUAGUUUCUUUUGCCAUGCAGAAGCUCUUUAAUUAGAUCCCAUUUAUCUGUUUUGGCUUUUAUUGCCAUUGCUUUUGGUGUUCUAGUCAUGAAGUCUUUGCCCAUGCCUAUGUCCUGAAUGGUGUUGCCUAGGUUUUCUUCUAGGUUUUUUAUGGUUUCAGACCUUACAUUUAAGUCUUUAAUCUAUCAACUUAAUUUUUAUAUAAGGUGUAAGGAAGGGGUCCCAGUUUCAGUUUUCUACAUGUGGCUAGCCUGUUUUCCCAACAUCAUUUAUUAAAUAGGGAAUCCUUUCCCCAUUGCUUGUUUUUGUCAGGUUUGUCAAAGAUCAGAUGGUUGUAGAAGUGUGGCGUUAUUUCUGAGGGCUGUGUUCUGUUCCAUUGGUCUAUAGCUCUGUUUUGGUACCAGUACCAUGCUGUUUUGGUUACUGAGCCUUGUAGUAUAGUUCGUUCUUUUUGCUUAGGAUUGCCUUGGCUAUAUGGGCUCUUUUUUUUUUGGUUCCAUAUGAAAUUUAAAGUAGUUUUUUCCAAUUCUGUGAAGAAAGUCAAUGGUAGCUUGAUGGGAAUAGCAUUGAAUCUAUAAAUUACUUUGGGCAGUAUGACUAUUUCACAAUAUUAAUUCUUCCUAUCCAUGAGCAUGGAAUGCUUUUUCCAUUUGUUUCUGUCCUCUCUCAUUUCCUUGAGCAGUGGUUUGUAGUUCUUGAAGAGGUCCUUCACGUCCCUUGUAAGUUGUAUUCCUAGGUAUUUAAUUCUCUUUGUAGCAAUUGUGAAUGGGAGUUCACUCACGAUUUGGCUCUCUGUUUGUCAAUUAUUGGUGUAUAGGAAUGCUUGUGAUUUUUGCACAUUAAUUUUGUAUCCUGAGACUUUGCUGAAGUUGCUUAUCAGCUUAAGGAGUUUUUGGGCUGAGAUGAUGGGGUUUUCUAAAUAUACAAUUAUGUCAUCUGCAAACAGAGAUAAUUUGACUUCCUCUCUUCCUGUUUGAAUACGCUUUCUUUCUCUUGCCUGAUUGUCCUGGCCAGAACUUCCAGUACAUAGGAGUGGUGAGAGAGGGCAUCCUUGUCUUGUGCCGGUUUUCAAAGGGAAUGCUUGCAGCUUUUGCCCAUUCAGUAUGAUAUUGGCUGUGGUUUUGUCAUAAAUAGCUCUUAUUAUUUUGAGAUAUGUUCCAUCAUAUCUAGUUUUUUGAGUGUUUUUAGCAUGAAAGGGUGUUAAUUUUAUCGAAGGCCUUUUCUGCAUCUAUUGAGAUAAUCAUGUUUUUGUCAUAACUGCUAUUUCAAAUGUUUGGAGGAAGUAAAAUGUCUUUAAAAGAAUAAGUGUUGAUUUUUGGAAAAUAUGAAAUUGGAAACUUAGAAAACUUGAAUUCUAAGUGGCUAUUUAUAUUACCAAGCGGUAAAACAUUAGCUAACUAAAACAUGGUUCUGAAGCCAGUUAACUAGCAAAAAGUCCCACCUAUGCAUUGAAAUAUCUUUCUCAAGUCAUUAGAUAAAGUAUAUGGCGUUAAGGCAAAAAAUACAUAUACACACACAAAAAAAAUAUUUCAGCAGCCACUGCCAACUGAAAGUAAUAAAAUGAAACAAUUUGUUGGCUUUAAUGUAUUUAGGAAAAAUCAUUUAUUUACAAAACAUCUUCCCUUUCUUAUCAUGAAAAUUAUGAAGAUGAGGUAAAGUCUGUUCCAUUUUUCCUCUAUUUUUGAGAAAUCUUAGAUUUAUCUUUACCAGUCUGUAACCCAGCUUUCUUGUUUUAUAUUUUAAAUAUACUUUCUAUUUUGUGACAGGAGUGAAAAAAUGUUUAAUGAUUUUAAACAUGUUUAUAUAUAUUUUUCAGACUUGGAACAGCAGUAUCUCAUGUUUUACUAUAAAAACUUGGGUAUAUUACUUGAAGAUCAACUAUAUUGUUAUUUUUAGUAUGUUAGCAAUUCAUCUGUCAAUAAUCACCAAAGAACUCAAGAAUGAAUAACAUGAUCUAUCAAAAGGCCUAUAAUCUCAAUCUUCAUGUUAAGACUUUGGAAAGUUAAUUUGUAUUAAUUAACUAAUAUAAAUUAAUCCUAUCAAGUUAAUUUGUAAUAAAUUCAAGAUGCAAAAAGAAAACCUAUUUCACUACCGAAAUUAAAUAAACUUUAAAAUUCAUUUUGUUGGCUGGGUGCAGUAGCUCACGCCCAUAAUCCCAGCACUUUGGGAGGCCAAGUGGAAGGAUCACUUAAGGCCAGGAGUUCAAGACCAGCCUAGCCAACAUAGUGAAACCCCAUCUCUACUAAAAAUACAAAAACUAGCUGGGCAUGGAGGUGUGUGCCUGUAAUCAUCUACCCUGGAGGCUGAGACAGGAGAAUUGCAUGAACCCGGAGGCAAAGGUUGCAGUGAGCAGAGAUCACACCACUGCCCUCCAGCCUGGGUGACGGAGUAAGACCCUGUCUAAAAAAAAACAAAACAACAAAAAAAAUCAUUUUGUUGGUAUUUUAUAUAAACUUAAGAAACCUCCCCACACAAACACACACAGCCAUAUUGUCAUCUCUGAAGACAGCAGCCACAUGUGUCUUAUUCCCUGCAGUGUUGGCAGAACCUAGCACAUUGUUGACCCGUAGAAGCACAGUGUGUAUUUCAAUUGACAAACAGCCAGAAGUAUUAUACUGUUGACUGUGUUUAAAACUAAUUUGCCAGAGCUCUACUGUGAUAAGAAUUUCUGACUAGAAAUUAUAAAUUCAUUGUUUUAUGCCUUAAAAAUUAUAAAUAAUGAUAAGUUUAAUUUGCAGCCCUUAUAGCUUAGAGGCAUUGUAGUUGAUAUUAUAGUAACCCUUUUAGAUGUUAGUAACUUUUAUUGUAAAAUUUAAGGUAGCUCUACCUGCUAAAGUAGCACCUAUUCUUUUGAAAGGAACUUUCUCAAAGGAUUUUUAGGGCUUCAUAAUUUCUUGUUGCUCUGUGUAAAUCCCUCUGAUAGGCUUCCCUGAAGGAUUUUAAGCAGAAAUAACAUCAGGUACCAGUAGAUGGCAGUGAAAAAUAAGCAGACACAUUUUUCUGAUAAAAUGCCAUUUCUACCUCAGUACUUGAUAAGAAUCACACAGUCUAGCUGGCCUUUGUGUUUUCACUAAAAAUAUCCUGAAUUAUCAGUCAGUUAUGUUUGACUAUGAGAAAUUGCAGAAAAGUUAAAAGUAUUUCGCAUCCAAAAGUUUGUAAUCUAGUGUAAUAAAUAGGACAGAUACUCAAAGUGUAUGAAUGGUAUGACAAUAAAUUUAGAAAAUCAUACAGGCACACACACUGCUAUAGACAUGUAAAGAUACAUACAUGUAUUGGAGCUCAGCAGAUUCCCAUUCAUGAAGAAUGGUGCCUGUGUAACAGUAUAAAUGGAUCACUUCUAAUAAAUAAAACAUAAAAUUGGACUAAUAGCUUAAUUUUUUUUUUUAAUUCAAAAAUCUCAGGGUUUUCUGGGGCUUUUAGUACUCCUUUGUGAAAUAAGACACAUAGUCUUCAGGUAAAAAGAAAGAGCUCUUGGUCACAGAAAUGGGUGUACUGAAUUCUCGCCCUGUAGUCAAGUACUUACUAUGAGUUUGGAAAAAUUGCUUACUUCAUAUCUGUAUCCUAAUUAUCCUAAUUAACUCGUUUGUUAAGUGGAAAAAAUAUUUCAGUAGGUAGUCAUAUAAAUAAGAUGAGGUAAUGUGUUUAGAAAAACAAAUCAAUGUGCAGGCAAGAAUCGGGAAUGUGGGAAAUUUUGUAGGACAAAUGGUAUGAUUUCUUUAAUGAAAAAGACAGAGAAAGGUAUCGUAUAGCUUAAAAGGAAAAAGAAAAAGAGGCUUUUCAGUCAUGAGCCAAAUGCAGUAUGUGGGCUAUAUUUGCAUCUUGAUUUGAACAGACUAUUGUAUACAUUUAUAUAUACAUAGAUCUAUAGAGACAGUAGGAUAUAUUUCAUAUAUAUAUGAAACAGUUGGGGAAAUCAGAAUAUUUGAAUUUGAUAUUAACUAAGAAUUGUUUGCAGGGGAUGUUGUUGCAUAUUCUAAUGACUUUUUUUAAUAAUGAAAAUGUUUGGCAUUUGCUUUAAAAUAAUCCAGUAACCAGGAUCUGAGAGAAACCAAAAAAAAGUGGGGAGAUAAUAAUCCAGGGACUUUGGGUAGUUGUUAAAUGGAUGGCUGUAUCAUAAGUAUUGAAGCUGAUAAGGGAUAGAUAUGGGUUGAUUAUAUAUUUGUUUUGCUGGAAAAUGUUCCAUGAUACAGUUUUAAUAACAGUUUUAAUUUCAGAAACGCAAAAUAUUGUUUUUACAACUAAGAUAACAUUGAAAUUUAUACAGAACCCCAAAUGACAAGUGUAUAAUCAACUGCCAGGAAAUCAGUUUACCUGUUAGAGGUAGAAAAGUUACAGGAUAAAAAUGGAAUUGGUUGGCACUAAGUAGGACCACUUUCGAAGAGAAUGGGUAGAAUUCAUUUUCUUUUCAUUACUUCCUUUCAGCGUGGAGCCUGAGCAUCAUUUCACCAUUUUGAGCCUCAAGCUCUCAAUAUACUGGAAAAUUGUAAUCCUGUUCCCUUCACUGAGGUCAUAAUACUGAAUUCUGAAAUGGAAAUAAUUGACUAGAGAUUGUCUAGUCAAACUAGACUGAUGAGGUCUCACCAUUUUCUUCAAGGAAGAUCAACUGAACCUGCCUGAAGGCACAGGGUACACCAUCUUCCUAAGGUGUGACCUCCUGUUCCCAAAGGAAUAGACCUAGGUGACCAACCAGCAGCACCUAGCUUUUGCCAGCUACGCAGCUUUGAAUAGCCUUCCACCCUUGUGUCCUUCAAACCCCAUUCUUGCCAAAGCCAAGUUCUCUCCCUCCCUCUCAACAGAUUUCUCAGCACACAUCAGAUUUCACACCGAUCUAUGAAAAACUAUUUUUAGAGAUUAUUACUAUGGUCCGAAUGUUUAUAUCCCCUCCUGCUCUCCCUAAAAUUAUGUUGAAAUCCUAACCCCCAAGGUAAUGGUAUUAGGAAUGUGAGGCCUUUGGGAAGGGUUUAAGUCAUGAGGGCAGAGACCUCCUUUUUGAGAUUGGUACACUUAUAAAAGAGACCCCAGUAUCUUGCUCGUCCCUUCUGCCAUGGGAGAACACGGUGAGAGCGAGCCAUCUGUAAACCAACAAACAAGGCCCUCACCAGGCACUCAAUCUGCCAGCACUUUGAUAGUGGACUUCCCAGCCUCCAGAACUAUGAGAAAUAAAUGUGUUUUUUUAAGCCAGCCAGUUCAUUUUGUUAUAGCAGCCUGGACAGACAAUAUAUUGAAAAAAAUCAGUUUUGCAGUUCCACUGGUCAGGUGAAUGCCAGAGGAGCUGGUCCACAGUCAUAGGCGUUAAACUUCUUUUGGAAACUAUACUGGCUUGACAGUCUCCCCAUACUGAUUCAGACUCCAGCAAGGUGCACAUCACCCGCUAGUCAUUGUGGCUUCUGCUGCUUUAAGGUUCUGGAAUUAUGGAAGAAAAUAGGGUGGGCCUACUGUCUCUUCCCACUGUUUACCUGGUGUUUUGAUUCUGAAUAGUUUAUAAGCUCUGCUAUUCAAGAAGUUUAUACAAACCCGUAAUGUACUACCAAACCGUUCAUUCAUUAUGACAAAACUGCCUACCAAAGCCACAGACUUUAAGUCUUUGCAGGAUUACCACUGAAAGUUCACAUGCUUGGUUAGCAGUCUUAACCUCUAACCAACUGAACAAAUCGAAGACAUUUAAUUUAGUCAAAAUAGGCAUGGGAAUGAAAGUGAGACUUAGAGGCAAAGAAUGAGGCCAGGUGCGGUGGCUCACACCUGUAACUCCAGCACUUUGGAAGGCCCAGGCAGAAGGAUUCCUGCAGACCAGGAUUUCAAGACCAGCCUGGACAACCUGGUGAAACCUCCUCUCUACAAGAAAAUUCAAAAAUUAGCCAGGCGUGGUAGGGUAUGCCUGUAGUCCCAGCUACUUGGGAGGCUGAGGUGGGAGGACUGCUUGAGCCCAGGAGGUCCAGGCUGCAGUGAGCCGUGAUCACACCACUGCACUCCAGACUGGGAGGCAGAGGAAGACCCCGUCUCAAAAAACAAAAGGUAAAGAAUGAUUUUAGGAAUUAGGUGUCUCUAAAUUGAAGUAAUGCUCACAUAGAAAAAUUAAGGCAUAUUAUUUUACUGUACUCUCAGAAAGAUGUUUAACAAAUACUUGAAGAGCCACUAUUUAAGAUAAAUGAGAGUCCUUUCCAAUUUGAGCCUCGCAGAGUGGUUCCUACAGAGAAGGGUGGCAAGAAGGGCUGUUCUGCCAUCAAUGAGGUGGUGACCCGAGAAUAUGCCAUCAGCGUCCACAAGCCCAUCCAUGGAGUGGGAUUCAAGAAGCAUACCCCUCAGAGCACUCAAAGAGAUCCGGAAGUGUGCCACAAAGGAAAUGCGCGUUGAUACCAGCCUCUACAAAGCUGUCGGGGCCAGGCGAAUAAAGGAUGUCCCAUGUCUUAUCCAUAAGCAGUAGUCCAGAAAACAUAGCGAGGAUGAAAAUUCACCAAACGAGCUCUUAUACUUUGGUUACCUAUGUACCUGUUACCACUUGCAGAAAUCAACAGACAAGGUGGAUGAGAACUGUAAAUCAUCAAAUAAGUUAUAAAACCACCAAAAAAUAGGAGAAAAUGGGAGUAAAAACAAAAUGUAUAAAAAGUAUUAAAAUUUGAAAAAUAUCUUGGAAAUAAGGAUGGACAGUUUAAGUACUUAUCUCAAAAGGAAAAAUGUUAGCAAUUGGUUGUAGCAAUACGUCCGUCUGUAAGUGAUGGUCAUAUUUGUGUUCUUUUGUCCCAGAGAACAAAAGGAAGUGAGCUUAUCCCACAGCACAAGUAACGUCUAUUUAUCUCAGAGGAAAUCCAGGGAAGUUCCUACUUGGGAAAACGGAAAGGUAGACUAUUCAGAAGUUUUCUAAAAUGGACUUCAAGCUCUAUGACUUUAUGAUCACUUAGUAUGUCUACGGAUUUUUUGGGGAAGAGAGAUUUCACGUUAAAGGUCAUUUUGUGUCUUCUUUAAAACUCUUGAUUCCUUUUAGAGUUUUUUAAAUUGUGAUAAAGUACAUGUAACAAAAUUUAUUAAUCAUUUUAAAGUAGCAUACAGUUCAGUAGUGUUAAGUAAUUUCACAUUGUUCAACCCAUCUCCGUGACUUUAUCUUGCAAAACUGAAAUUUUAUAUCCAUAAAGCAAAACCUUUUUAUUUACCAAUGCUGCUAGACCCUGACAACCACCACCCUACUUUCUAUCAAUAUGACUACCAUAGAUAUUUAAUGUAAGUGAAAUCAUACACCAUUUAUCUUUUUGUGAUUCCUUAUUUUACUUAGCGUAAGUCCUCGAGACUCACCCAUGUUGUAGCAUGUGUCAUAAUUUUCUUGUUUUGAGACGGAGUCUUACUCUGUCCCCCUGGCUGGAGUGCAGUGGUGUGAUCUCAGCUCACUGCAACCUCCACCUCCCAGGUUCAAGCGAUUCUCCUGCCUCACCCUCCCAAGUAGCUGGGACUGCAGGCAUGUGCCACCACGCUGGCUAAUUUUUGUAUGUUUAACGGAGACAAGGUUUUAGUGUGUUGGCCAGGCUGGUCUCGAACUCUUGACCUCAGGUGAUCCGCCUGCCUUGGUCUCCCAAAGUGCUGGGAUUACAGGCGUGAGCCACCGCACCCAGCCAAUUUUCUUCCUUUUUAAGGCUGAAUAAUAUUCAAUUAUAUAUACAUUCUACAUUUUGUUAUUCGUCCGUUGAUAGGCUGCCUUCACCCUUUGGCCAUUGCAAAUAAUGCUGCUAUAAACAUGGGUGUACAAAUAUCAGAAACCCUGCUUUCAGUUCUUUCAGCUAUAUACCUAGAAGUGUAAGUCUAUAUCAUAGUAAUUCUAUUUUUAAUAUGGGGGGACCUCCAUACUGUUUUUCAUAGCAGCUGCACCAUUUUACAUUCCCACCAAUAGUGCACAAGAGUUCUGAUUUUUCCACAUCCUCACCAACACUCAUUUUUUUUAAAUAGUAGGUAUCCCAAUGAGUGUGCGUUCAUAUCCCAUUGGAGUUUUGAUUUGUACUUUUAGAGUCUUUAAAUUAUUACUUUUUCCAUAUCAAAGUACUUUGUGGGAAGUUGGUUAUUUUACAUUCUCAUACCAUGCUUUGUAUUACUUUCCCAUUUGGAUGCCCUUUUCAUCCUUCACCUCAUCCUGUAAACCCAAAAUCUAACUUAAAUCCCAAAUCCAACUUCCACUGUAAAGCCUUUGCUGACUUCUUUACUUCACAUUGAUUUCUGAAUUUCUAAAAGUUCCUCAUUGUCUACCACAAAACUAAGUAUUUGUUUAUAAGAAAAAGCUUUAUUUAGUCCUAUAUUAUUCUCUGAUUAUUCCAUAUGUUAUCUUCCAAACUAGAUUGUUAGGUCUUCAAGAGCAGAAGAAAUUUAUUUUAUACUUAUAAACUUCAAGAUUUGCUGAAGUACUUUGGGUGCUAAAUGCUUCUAGCUUAUUCGUUUAGUUUACAUGACUUUCUGCAUGUGAAACUUGAGAAAACUGCAAAUCUAAUACCUUGGUCUUACAGAACUGAACAAUACUUAAAUGUGUUUAAACCUGCUAUAUAAAAUGUCAGAUGUAAAAGCGAAUAUCUAAUGAAGCACCUUUUCCCUUUUCUAAAAUUCAAUAGUAAGGGCCAGGCACAGUGGCUCACACCUGAAAUCCCAGCGCUUUGGGAGGCCGAGGCGGGUGGAUCCCUUGAGGUUAAGAGUUCAAGACCAGCCUGGCCAACAUGGUGAAACGCCGUCUCUACUAAAAAUACAAAAAAAAAUGGCCAGGCGUGGUGGUGCACGCCUGUAAUCCCAGCUACUUGGGAGUCUGAGACAGGAAAAUCGCUUGAACCCGGGAGGCAGAGGUUACAGUGAGCUGAGGUCACGUCACUGUACUCCAGCCUGGGCAACAAGAGUGAAACUCUAUCUCAAAAAAAAAAAAAAAAAUUACAAUAGUAAUAAUUAUGCCUUCUAACACUAAAAUCAAAUAACCUUACUUAUCAGUUACAUUGCCUACUAAGCUGACUUAUUUUCUGACUUUUCCUUUGCUUUAUUCUCUUAUUUCUUCCAAGUAACCAUAUUCUCUUUUACCCUCCUGUUCAACUGUCUAUGCUCCUUCUCUCUUUGUUCACUAUUUUGAUAUUUAAAUGUUAUGACUUAUUUUCAAGUAAAUAUUUUUUUAAUUUCUUCAUUUGGGAUAAAAUAUUCACUACAUAAAUUUAGUGGAUAAAUACCCCCACAGAGAUCGACCCUGCAUGAAAUGUGUUCCCUCAGAAGUAGGGCAAUUCAUUCAUUAUGAGAUCAAGCCAUAAAAUUUAAAUCCAAGCAGUAAUUCUCCAAUUAAAGUAACUCUAGAGCUUAGUUUUCAGUCCUCCUGAAUCAUAACUAGUUGGCAACAAAAACUAGUAUGCCUUGGUGUGAAUAAACCUUAACAUAGAAACUCACCCAGCCUCAAAAGUUAAAAAUUAAGAGAGAUAUGUAUUCAGGUGGCCAUUUAUACACAAUAUUUUUGAAUACUAUUCUGGCCAAAUUAGUAUAAAAUGGGUUACUCUAAAAUGAAAUUUUAAAAGUAUAUAAACAUCUUAAACUUUAAAACUUCAGCCCAGCUAGAAGUCAACGUGUGUUUCUGAAACUAUGCUGGGGAAAGUAGCUCUGUCCAUAAUGAUUAUAUAGUUGUUAGCAAAAUAUUGGUCAAAACUUUUUCAGUUUAAUGAGUUUCAAGAUAUUCUUCAAACUGGCCUCUGUGAACUCUUUCUUGACAAGUGAAACCUGGCUCCAACAAUGACUACUUUAUUCUACCUCUCAUUUAUUUUCUGUUUAAUAAAUCCAGUAUUUGGGCAUACAAACUGUAUACAACAUUUUAUAACACUCUAAUGUGGAUAAGACACCUCAAAAACAGGAGUUUAGUCAUUUCAGUCACAUGUUUCUAAUACAUGAUAAGAUUUGCAGUUAUCGUUUAAUUAAUUGCAAUAUGGAAAUAGAUACUAAAAAAUCUAAAUUGCAUCUUACAUUUCAACAAUGGAUGUUUAAAGCGUUUAAAAGUUAUGUUUUGCAUUUUACAACAUAUUGAAGAUACACAUUUUAAAUUUAACUCUAAACAAUGCAAUAAUCUAGAGAAUCAGAGAAUUGGAUCCUGAAACACCUUAUAAGUUCAGUCCUGUUGAUUAGUAUGUUUCCCUGUCCUAGAGUGCAUGAACUUUCAAAGCCAGGACACAAUCUUGUUCACUUUUCAUGCCAUCAUCUUGACACUCAAUACAUGUUCAAAGAGUAAAUUAAAGAAAAAAGAGAUGCUCAAGUCAAUUUAUAAGUAAUCCUCACAAAUGCUUGCAUACCAUCAGUGAACAAUUAUUUUUUUAUCUCCAUGCUAUAAUCUUGCACAAGUUUCAUUAGAAUUAAAUGCACUAUCUGAAGUCUAUGUUUAUUAAAUGAGGAUUACAGUAGUUGGUUAUCUUUGUGAGGGGUUUUGAGGGUUGUGGAACAGGAUAACAUUUUGAGGUACAAAAAAUAAUGAAGAGGAUAUAUUCCAAUUUCUUUCCUUCCCCAAGGCUUUUCAUUACAGCUGUUAUAAACCCUGGUAGAAUUGAUUGGUUUCCUUUUCAGCUUCCUGUUUUGUCCCUCAAUGUUCACAAAAGUCCCAUCUGAUAAAUGUAUUGUUUAACCUCUCAUUGUUUGAAAGAACACCUCUUUGCUCCCCACAGAUUACAGACCUAUUGGCUUAAGCAGUCCAUCUAAAUGCAUGCCAGUUUCUUUCUUGAUAAAUUAGAGGCCUAUAACCUCAAACCAGUUUAUCUGCAAGAGAAGUGUGUGAAGUUAGACUCAAUUCUUCCGCUAAUGGAACAUCGUAAUCCUCCUUGUCAUCUUUCCUUUGGCCUUCCUGAAUAGAAAUCAUUUAUGAGGAAGUUACAUGAGCUCAACAUGAGCCCCAUGUCACUCAGCAAACAUUUAUUUGAGUACUUACAAUGUGCUAGGCUUUGUUCUAUGCAUUUAAGAUAGUGUAUUAAAUGUAUUGACCUCAUGAAGAUUCUAUUCUCGCAGUGGGGAGAUAGACAAUAAACAAUUAAUAUAAGCAAAUGUUAAGUAUGUUAGAAGUAUGUUAGAAGAUGUGCUGUGAAAUAAAGAAAAAGGUAGACCAGGGUAUGAGGGAUUAGGAGUGUGGGGGCAGCAGCAGGAGAGUUUCGGUAUUAAAUAGGGUGGACAGGGCAGGUCUCUUGGAGAAGAUGCCAUUGAAGGAGGUGGAAAAAAUGUAGCCACUAAAUGGGCUGAGGGUAGAGCAUAUGAACAGAGAGAAAGGCCAGAGGACAGGCUCCAAGGCAUGCUUGGCAGGUUCAAGGAACAGCAGGGAGGCUCAUGUGGCUGGAAUGGAGUGAGCUAGCAGGAGAGAAGAUGAAGUUAGAGGGAGAGAGAAAGUGGGGAGCCAGAUCAUAGAGGGCUUUGCAGGUCACUUGUAAGGACUUUAGCUUUCUAACUUUUGUAAGGACUUCAACUUCUACUCACAGUGAAAUUGUGAAAUUCCAGAACCAAAAAGAAGAUCCUGGUAAAAGAGAAACUUUCAGCAAAAUAUAUUUAACAUUUUAUUUGAGUGAAGAACAAUUCAUCCAUCAGGCAGCACUGAGAACCAGAAGACAUUCAGAGAGCUCUGCUUUGCGAGGUAUGCAGUGAACAUUCAUAGACAGAAAACAAAAAUUAAGUACAGAAAUAGCUUGAUUGGUUACAGAUAGGCAUUUGCCUUAUUUGGACAUGGUCUGCUCCAAAUAAGGCAAGUUGGCAGCAUGCAAUUGGCUGUGACCUAUCUGUUACAAAAAUAUAUCUAUAUAAUCCUAAAUUAGGUUUCAGUUUAUUUAAGUACUAAAUUAGGUUGCAAUUUAUUACAUGGGAACUCAAAGUCUGGAGACAGCCUCAGGCCAAGGUCCUCUUGCUUAUUUAAUUUAGCAAUCCUAAAAUUUUCCAGAGAGGAAACACAUCACACACACACACACACACACACACACACACACACACACACACACUACCUACAAAAAAAUAACAAUUAGAAAGUAAUUGGAGCUUGAAGUAUUCUAGAAGACUUUGGAGCAAAGCCUUCCAAAUUCUGAGAGGAAAAUAUUUUUAACCUAGGAUUCUAUUCAUACCUACCCAGACUAACAAGUAGCAGGCAGAUGAUAAAUAUAUUUUUAGGUGGUUAGGUGAUGAAACACCUCCUCCAAAUGAAGGCAUAAACAACAAUGCAUGGGGAUCCAAGAAACAGUGACUCCAACCCAAGAGAGCAGUGAACAAAUCCACAGGACAGCAGCUAAGUAGGAGGCCUAAACAUCACCUGGGGCAGAUGGGGCGAGAGAGCAGAGAGCUUGGGAAAGAAGUCUCUGAGGAGAAAGAAUGAGGCAAUAAGUCAGAUGCGUAUUUGCGGACCUCAGAAAAAUUUGAGUACAUAGGAAACAAUAGAUGAAGGAUAGAAAUAAUCCAUUCAGAUUCUCUCCUUUGCAUGAUGACCACAUUAAACUUACAGAGUAAGAAAUGUCAUUCUAGAUUUGAUUCUACUGUUUGUCUUUGCAGUGAGCUAUGUUUUUUUAUAACAUGUAGAAGUGAAAUAAACUUGUCACAAAAAUGCAAA